AGCUGUGUCAUCCCACUUUAUUGCAGUUGUGCAAAUGUUUCCAUGGUGACCGCCUUGUUCAGCAGUUGCAUCACACAGUUUGAAGGCUUAAGGGACAGAAAGAGUUAAUUGUGGCUUUGGGCUGCUUCCCAUGGCAUAGUCACAAAAAAAAAAAAAAGAUCUCAUUACUCUGGACCUGGAGGCCACAGAUGCAAGCUCACUGCUGACUGCAAACUCCUUCAUCCUUCUUUAGAAACCAAGGUUCAUGCCAUGCUAUGAAAGAAAAUAGGAAUGUACAAGGGGAAAGAAAUCACUAAGAAAACUUGAAGCUGAGCCAACAAUACAGAUAUUCAAAACAUUGCCGCUUACCAGAUGAAGAGUUAACUGAAACUGGAGUAAACCUGGGAACCAGUAGUAAAUGGCUUAUGUAAACAGCUUGUAAACAGCUUACUUCGGCUCACAGCCAGCUACUCUAAAAUAACAUCUAUUUGACCAUUUAUUGUCAACAAACUGAAGCUACAGCCUACUGACUGCAUUUACAUCUAGAGGGGUCCUACAGAACUGCUCCAAGACCACAGAGACUUUGAUUUGUUUUGACUCCAAGCCAAGUUUGAGCCAAGUGAUUUGCACUCUGAUAUAUUGAGUUUUACAGCAUAUUACAUGCAUUUGGAGAGACUGUAUGUAGACAUACUGUGUCGCUAACAAACUUUAGUUGGAGUCUUGUUGAUAUUGUUGAUAUAUGUCUGAUAUAUGUUUUAUAUUGAAAACUGCUCUGUGUAGCAUUUAAAUCUGGAUGAUUGCAGUCUAUAAAU